rnacentral:rRNA from 1 species
UACGGAGGAUGCAAGCGUUAUCCGGAAUGAUUGGGCGUAAAGAGUCCGUAGGUGGCCCUUCAAGUCUGCUGUUAAAGAGCGAGGCUUAACUUCGGAAAAGCAGUGGAAACUGGAGAGCUAGAGUGUAGUAGGGGCAGAGGGAAUUCCUGGUGUAGCGGUGAAAUGCGUAGAGAUCAGGAAGAACACCGGUGGCGAAAGCGCUCUGCUGGGCUACAACUGACACUGAGGGACGAAAGCUAGGGGAGCGAAUGGGAUUAGAUACCCCAGUAGUCCUAGCGGUAAACGAUGGAAACUAGGUGUGGCCUGUAUCGACCCGGGCCGUGCCGGAGCAAACGCGUUAAGUUUCCCGCCUGGGGAGUACGCACGCAAGUGUGAA